rnacentral:lncRNA from 1 species
UAAAAUUAUAACUACAUAUGAAUAUUAUUUUAAAAUAUGUUCCUGCCAAAAGUGUUUCAAUGAUACAUUUCCAAGUGUAAGCUGCUGCUAUAUUUUGCAUGUCUUAACCCAUAUUUAUUUAUAAAGUAAGUGUUUAAUUGUUUUCAACAGCUUUUGCAAUUCUGCUAAAGCAGGUCUCUGAAGGUUAAACAUUUUCAUAUAUUUUUUUUCUGGAUAAACAAGACAAAAACUGAUAAAGUUUCAAGUAAACAAGUAAACACUGAUUAAGAAUUUAUUUUAUUUAUUUAUUUAUUUUUAUUAAUAAUAAUGUUAUUAUUAUUAUUAUUAUUAUUAUUAUUUUUUUAUUAUUAUUAUUUUUUUUGCAGUUUGACAUGCUGUGUUGUUGUUCGUUUUAAAAUUAGAAAAGAAAAGACUAAAAUUAGAUCACAUGUUUUUGGUUUGUAAACAGCCAAGAGACUUACUAUGGCUGGGGGGGACUCCUCUUUUGUGUCAUAAGUUGGAAUGUUAAAGUUUUGUGGUAGAGGGUCUGUCACUUUGGCUUAGAUGAGUAUGGUGGGUGUCUCUCGCUCACUCUCUCCCUCAGUCUCUCUUUCUCUCUCUUUUCAUUCUCACUAAGUCACCGCGCCCAUUGAUCUUGUGAAAAUGACAAAAUGGGGGGAUAAUAUGAGUCGACGGCCAGCAUGCUCCUCUGUCCCUUCUCUCUUACUGCCUGCGUCUUCAGCACCACUGCCAACAGCUGUGGGCCACGGGGCAUAACAAGCAGGCACAGUAGAUCGAUAGUUCCCUUUCAAGGGAACUUUGAACUGCAUCCUCUUGGGGCCGCUAUGGGAAACACCUCUUCAGGAUCCGUGCCUGAAGCAUACAUUGGCAAAACACCAACUUGUUGGCUGGCUACAGCCUCUGAUGUCACUACCGGCGCGACUAUAAACAGGCACGGGGAGAACACAUCAUUCUCUUCUUCGUCGUCACUGACAGUUCUGUUUGAAGCGUGCAUCUGAGAACUGAAGAACUGGUAAGAGCGAUCUUUCUCUGUAUAUCAUGGUGACUACUAGCAAGCGUUUAGACGAUGUGUGCAUCCGUGUCUGAGUUAAUUGACACCUGAUGACACAUGCGAUCUUUGCGUCAUUUGUUUGGGUGAAGAGCAAGCACGUGAUGUGUUUGAGGAGGCAAUUGGCGUGCAUUGUGAGUGUUUUUUUUUUUUUUUUUUUUUAAGGAAAAAAAGCUCCACUCUCGUUCGUCUCUCUUCCGAAAAAAAAAGGACAAAAAAGGCAGUCAUCUGCUUCCCGCGGUUCAGGACCUGGCACUGCUGAGGCACGGAGGAGAAUGAGCUCGUGAGAAUACAGGUGGAUCUUUUUGAAUGUUUUAAAGAGGGAUUUUCCCUUUCGCGCUCGUAUUGGCGACGGACAAGAGAGAGUCUUGAGAGGAUGAUGUUAUAUCUUAAACACUAUCUAAUACUGAGGUUAGUGCUUUGCUGGGUUUUUACCCAGGGAAAGCAGGAGAUAUUUUAGGAUGGUGAAGAAGCUGAGGCUGAGCCUUCUCAAUUCUCCUGCCCUGCGUAUGUAGAGCUGUUAGAAGUUAUGGAUCGUGCCACGGCAAACUUGGACUUGCCAUGGUAAUGCGCUAACAAGAUGACAAUGUAAGGCCAUUAAAAAAAAAAAAAAACAGAUGAGUGUUUUCUUUCUGACCAUAGCUCAGGUGAGCCUUCAGACACGGGUCACAACGAGGUGUUCCCCAUAGCGGUCCCUAGAGGACGCAGUGUCUCGUUCCCUACUCAGGGAACCAUGGUUACAUUCGUAACCUGAGACGAUUAGUUUGCUAGCAUUCAAUCUUAGACUUUAAAAUCUUACCCCUUGCAAUCUUGAAUAUUUUGUUUCCUCCCUGAUAAGUAAUAAUUUAGCGUACAAUUUUAUCUAAAAUGAAUUUCUGUACUCUUAUUAGACAAUCCCCCUAAUAAGCAACCUGAGGUUAAAUGCCUUGCACAAAAGCUCAGUGGUGAUAUAGCUCAUGACUUACUUCUUACAAGAUUCUAAACCAGCAUCCUAGCUUCAUUCAUUUAAGCUUCAGACACAAUCUUUUUAUAACAAUACUUUUGCUCGUACAAUUUUCUCUUUGUCACUAAAGAAUACAAUUGGCAGGGCAAUAUACUAUUUCCAUCUGUUAAAUAUUUAUAGCUCAAUACAAUCAAGUGGUCAAGCAGGAGUGUGAAUCUUCAGAGUAAUUUAAUGUAGUACAAUUGUUUCCUCUAGCAGAGCAGUGGGUAAUUACAUUUUAAAGCUUUGACACCUAAAACCCUUCCAAUAUGAUUCAUUAUGAUACCUCUGCUCAGUUGAAUAAGGGAAACAGAAAAAGUAUGCUUUAUUUAACUGCAAAUAGAUUACAUAUUUAUACACACGUGGUCAGAAAUGUUGGUAUCUUUGGUAAAUAUGAUCAGAGAAGGCUGUGACAAUAAAUCUGCAUUGUUAAUCAUUUUGGUCCAUUAUUAAAAAAAAAAAGAAAAAUCAGAAAUUUCAUUAGAGCAUAAGAAUAAUGAAUAAAAUGUUUUUUUUUUCCCUCAAAUACAUGUUGGACACCAAUUACUGGUACCCAUAGAAUUUCCUAUGAGUAAAAUAUAUCUGAAACAUAUUCCUAUUCAUAUUCACAAUUUUGAGCUUCCUGUUUCACAGAAAUAUGAAUAGGAGUGAAAACAAAGGCCAAAUUCCAAAUUAAUCACCCAUCACAAUGAGAAAAACCAAAGAAAAUAUUUCUGAUGUGCGGCAACAGAUAAUUGAGCUUCACAAAUUAGAAAGUGGCUUUUAGAAAAGAUCUAGAGCAGUGAAAAUACCCAUUUCCACCAUCAGGGCAAUAAUUAAGAAGUUCCAAUCAACAGAAAAUAUUAUGAAUCUGCCUGUAAGAGAACGUGUCUAAUGCAUGGUGAGUAGUAGAGUUUGAGUGGCCGAAGACUAUUCAAGGAUCACAGCUGGAGAAUUGUAGAAGUUUGAGUCUCGGGGUCAGAAAUCAUUUAAAAAAAAAUUAUUAAAUAGCACCUACAUCACUAUAUGUAGUUUGAAAGGGGUUCAAGAACAAAAUCAAGAAAAAAAUAAUACUUUCAAAAACAAAAAACAAUCUCCAGCAUAUUUAGUCAUCAGACAUGACUGGAACUUCAAACAGGACUAGCUUCUAUGGUUAAAUUAAUCUAAAACAUUUGCAUUUUAGCAGCCACUCCUUAAGAUGGG